rnacentral:lncRNA from 1 species
GGGGGAGCCAUAUUUAGGGUUUUCAAGCUUCCAAGCUCCAUAGUAAGUGAUCCCAAGUCCCGUUUUUAAUGUUCUUUACGUUUUUGAGAUCUCGGUAGCUUAAUUUAGCUUAUUCUAGCAAUAAUUUAACCUAGGGUUUAUAUUUGGAAAAAUACCCAUAGGUGAAAAGUGUUUAUUUUGAUGUUUUAUGAUAGAAUAUGAAGCUAGAAAUUAUGUUAAACAACUUUUGCUAAGCGAUUUUAAGUAAAAACGAGUAAAACGACAUAAUCGGUAAAAAUACCUAAUGUUCAUAAGUACAUGUUAGAGUGGGAAUUUGAUGUUUCCAUAGAAGGGAAAAAUGUUCAGAAUGUUAUAAAACAUAAGAAUAAGAGAUGAAGUUUAAUUUCCGAGCCUUGGGGCAAAAAUGUAAUUAUGUAAAAGUUUAGGGGCAAAAUUGUAAUUUUGAAAAAGUUAGAGUCGAGGGCUGUUUAGAUGAAUGUGAUUAUUAAAUAAGUUAAAUUUACUAUUUUAGAUCAAGAAGUACGAAACUCGAGGGUAGACAAAGGGAAGAAUAAAGUUGAAGACUAAGUUGGUGAAUUUGGCUAUAAUGGGUACCGAGGUAAGUUUACGGUAAAUAAAUGCAAUAUUUCAAUAUUUAUUAUCAAUGCUGUUAAUUUCCAGCAAUUAUGAAUUUAUUUUAUGAAUUUAUUUGAUGAUGAUCCAAGCAUGAGAUGAUAGAGAAUUAAAAUUUAAAAGUCCCGUUGAUACAUAAGGAUGGUACUGGAUACGAAUGUCAUGACAUUUGGGUAAAGAGAUCCCAUGUAAGACCAUGUCUGGGACAUGGCAUUGGCAUCCUUAAGAUCAUGAGAGGCCCUUCUGUAAGACCAUGUCUGGGACAUGGCAUGGGCACCGAGACGAUAGGUCCCAUGUAAGACCAUGUCUGGGACAUGGCGUUGGCACCGAGAUGAGAGGUCCCCUAUAAGACCAUGUCUGGGACAUGGCAUGGGCACCAACAUGAGAACAUCCCAUGUAAGACCAUGUCUGGGACAUGGCUUUGGUAUGUUAUUAUCAGAAGAGACCCGAGUAUCCUUAUUAUUCCAAUGUAGCUCAACGGGCUUGUAAACGAAUCAUGUUCAUGAAAGUUCAGUUUAAAGCAUAAAUGGCAAGCUCAGGUAAGUUGUAAGACUUAAGAACUUAUUAUACUAUCAAUUGAUGUUCAACGAUGCAGCAAGAGUUGAGUAAGUUAUGCACACAAGUAUUCUAAGUAAACAAGUAAGAGAACUAGUAUGAGAUUAACUAAAGAGUAAACUAGAGAUAUAGACAUUGAGUUUAAUUAUUUAAGUUAAAUAUUGUUAUUUAUUUGCUAGUAAACUUACUAAGCUUUAUGCUUACGUUUUUUAUUUCUCUUUCUCUUAUAGUAUUACAAGGCUACUUCAAGGAUCCUAAAGAAGUCGGAGAUCGUCCACACUAUUAACCACAACUGCUCGGUAUUUUAUGUCGAAACACGUUUGAGUUAUGGCAUGUAUAGGGA